rnacentral:ncRNA from 1 species
ACGAUAAAGGCAAACCGUCGGUGACGGCGGGACGCAAAGCUUCCGAUCUGGGGCGCACUGUUUUGCCGUGUGCUCAGAUAGCGGGGCCACCGA